GUUGGCUGCGGUGGGGGGGGGGGGGGGGGGGAGGAGAGAAGAUUCACUAUCUCAACCCGAUCGACUGCAGGCGCGAUCCUCCAGCCAGCCCCUCCCCAUUAGCCCCAGAAUGCCCGUGACAAAGCCGAUCUAUUUAUGAAUGGAUCUCCGCCUUCUACCCUACUCUGAAAUGGAAAACGGAGGGCGGAUUCCAAAUUAUUGCGGGCCGCGCAGUGACAUUUCUUGCAUAAUAAGUGUCCUUGUCCUCUCCCCCCCGCCCCUUCUCCCGGGAUCUCUCUGGCUGGCGGCUCGAAGAGCUUUCUCUGCCCCUUAAUGGUUGUUUUUGUGGGUUAAAAACAAGAUGUAAAGCGAGGCGAGGGGGUGCAAGCGGAGAAAAAGCACGGGGCUCCAAACCUCCCGCGUGCAAUUCUGUGUAUGCGGCAGAAGGGACCACAUGGCAAAUGUGACAGAACUGAAGAAGCAAGUUGUUUUGCCUCGGCCUAAAAAAGCCUGUGUGGAGAGAAGGAGAAAAAUGCAUUGGGCCCUUGGCACUUGGCA